UGUGUUAUCUGGUGUGAGCAUGCGCGCUGCUGUUAAGUUUGGCAGCCCUUUGAAUGAAGAAGUGCGAAACUAUUAAGUAGCGAAACUGUAACGUUAGUCACCAUGGCAGAGACAAAUGAAGAAGUAGACAAUCUUCCCACCACUCCACCAAGACAGAGAGCACAAGCUAAGAGGAAGAGGACCUGUGUCUUCAAUGACGACUGGUUAAAAGAAUCAGACUUUAAAGAUUGGCUCGCUAAACGGCAGACAGUACGAUUGCCGUGGUACUGUCUGCGAGUGUAAGUUCACUGUGAAGUUUGAUGGUGUCGAUGCCGUAAAGCAGCACAGGAAAGGGAAGAAAAACAUGAAGCAGCUGUAGAGAGUGUAUGCAAGACCAGGACCACCCAGGAAUACAGCGAGAGAAGACACUGUAACGGCAAGUGAGUUAGCCUACGUGUUUCAUGGUGUUAAACAUCAUUACAGCUUUCUGUCAAUGGAUUGUGGCAGUAAACUUGUUACACGACUGCAUGCUGAUUCACCCGGAGCAAGCAAGGUGCAGUUGGGUCGAACCAAAAUACAGAGUCUGGUGGUGAAUGUACUCGUGGCUUUUUCUUUUUCUGUUGAGACCGCAGUUAAGAAACUGAAAGACAGCCGAUCUCCAUUUGCAGAUGCGACAGAUGCCUCUAACAAGGGAAACAGAAAAUGUUUCCCAUUGGCUGCCCGUUUUUUUGACGUAGGAACAGGGGUUAGCAAUGUUCUUUAGGAUUUUUAUGAGGAGUCUGAUGAGACAUCAGCAUCCAUUUUUGAGUGCAUUGCUGGUGCUCUGACAGACCAUGGGCUGGACGUUAAGGACGGGUGUGCUUACGGGGCAGACAACACAUCCGUCAAUUAUGGAAAAAACUGUUCUGUCUUUACAAAAUGGAAGGCUCUGCAACCUCUGAUCAUGCAGGCAAACUGCAAUUGCCACGUGCAGUGGCUUACCUUGAGAAGUGGUUCUCUUUCAAAGAUUCCCCUUUUAAAGUAUUUUCAUUAAACUUCAAGACUGCAAUUGCUGGAUGAUUUGAUGAAGCUGGACAACCUUUUGAAAGCAAAUUCUGCGGCGGGCAUGAAUGAUGAUCUGUACACGAGUACUGCGUCUUAUGCACCGCUGCCCCAGCGCUAAUUGAGGAUGACUCUCUCACAGGGCCUGUGGACAAAUGGUGUGCAUUUUUCAAGAAAGUGGAAUGCCCAACACUUCUGAGAAUGGUUCAGCAUGUCUUCUCAGUACCUUGCAGUAAUGCGAUCAUAGAACGCAUGUUCAGUGUUAUGGGAAAUCUGUGGACCGACGAGAGAAAUCGCCUCAGCAUUGACACAGUUAAAAGUGAACUCUGCGUUAGAUGCAAUCUGAACUACUCGUGUCUUGAGGUUUUUUUUUAUGUCAGUAUCCAGAACAGGCUAAAUCAAACAUAAAACACAGCUUCAAGAAAUGAACUGGACAGAAUAAUGGAAAUAGUUCAAAAUUCAGAAAAAGGAAAAAGUUCACAUUCGGAGAUGGCUAAACUAAAGUUAUUUACCAAGACUGCAUCUUCCAUGUCCAUGUAUAGAAGUUUAAGAGGAGAAACCCAGCUAACUGAGGAACGAGUGAUUCAGGAGAGAGAGGCAUGGACACGACUCCAAGGAGAAGAAGAAGGAGUAAAGAGAAUGACCCUCCUGAUAUGUCACAAGAGCCUGCCAGGUACUGAAAGUCUUUUCUUAUUAGUUCACGGUGCGGCGGCAUGCUGAAUAAUACCUUUACUAAGAAGCUGUUCAGGAAUCCAAAUCACUGAGCUGAGUCUCAAGCCCAGGGUUAGAGUCCAGACCUCUCUGUGCUUUACAAUGCUUCCCUAUGCUUUACCAGACCUCCCUGUGCUUUACAAUGCUUCCCUAUGCUUUACCAGACCUCUCUGUGCUUUACAAUGCUUCCCUAUGCUUUACCAGACGUCUCUGUGCUUUACAAUGCUUCCCUGUGCUUUACCAGACCUCUCUGUGCUUUACAAUGCUUCCCUAUGCUUUACCA